rnacentral:rRNA from 1 species
AUUGAACGCUGGCGGCAGGCUUAACACAUGCAAGUCGAGCGGGGGAGGUUGCUUCGGUAACUGACCUAGCGGCGGACGGGUGAGUAAUGCUUAAGAAUCUGCCUAUUAGUGGGGGACAACAUUCCGAAAGGGAUGCUAAUACCGCAUACGCCCUACGGUGGAAAGCAGGGGAUCUUCGGACCUUGCGCUAAUAUAUGAGCCUAAGUCGGAUUAGCUAGUUGGUGGGGUAAAGGCCUACCAAGGCGACGAUCUGUAGCGGGUCUGAGAGGAUGAUCCGCCACACUGGGACUGAGACACGGCCCAGACUCCUACGGGAGGCAGCAGUGGGGAAUAUUGGACAAUGGGGGGAACCCUGAUCCAGCCAUGCCGAGUGUGUGAAGAAGGCCUUAUGGUUGUAAAGCACUUUAAGCGAGGAGGAGGCUACUGAGACUAAUACUCUUGGAUAGUGGACGUUACUCGCAGAAUAAGCACCGGCUAACUCUGUGCCAGCAGCCGCGGUAACAC